CUGUCUCGGCUCCACGUACGCGGUCACCUUUGAGAAACGCCUCUCGUUCUUCCUCUUCUUCCCCUAUCUCGCCUCCUCCUCUUCGCAAGCUCUGACAACACUACAUGCAGCUGUGACCCCCUUCCUCCUCCUUUGCAUCUUGGUGCCAGAGGCUCAGCUAGCAUAGUAGAACUACAUCUUGGUUGUUGGAUAGCAGGAAGCAAAAACUGGACAGAGACUACAAAACCGUAGCAAACCCUGUUCCAUUGGCGAGCUCUAACGCGUUCCGGUGACCACCCCUCCACUGCUCUAUUACUCCGGCGACACUAUAGCGCAGCUGCAACCUCCUCUCCCCUGCCUUCUUAUUUCUCUAUUCUUCAGUUUUCAAGUUUUUGCAAAAUCUCAUUUUGAUAUUCUCCAUUUUAAUUCAUUACAGUUUAGUUAGGGUUUAAUUCUUAGUAAUUUUAUUUAGUCAAACUAGUUUUUGCUGAAUAGGUUAAUUUAAAUUAAAAUUAGGAUUCUAUUAUGAGCAUUUAUCUUAGUUCAUAGGUAAUUAAGCAUGCUAUUAUGAUUCUUAGGUCUAGAAUUUCAAUUCGUUUGGGCUGGCUUGAUUGAUUUUAUGUUGAAUUUCAAGUUCUCCU